rnacentral:piRNA from 1 species
CAGGACUGCAGAUAAAAAUAGUC